rnacentral:rRNA from 1 species
CUGGCUCAGGAUGAACGCUAGCGGCAGGCUAACACAUGCAAGUCGAGGGGCAACGCGAGUAGCAAUACUUGGCGGCGACCGGCGCAAGGGUGCGUAACGCGUGAGCAACAUGCCCGUAUCAGGGGGAUAAUCCAGGGAAACUUGGUCUAAUACCCCAUAGUAAUUUUGUAAGGCAUCUUAUAAGAUUUAAAGCUUUGGUGGAUACGGAUUGGCUCGCGUGACAUUAGCUGGAUGGUAAGGUAACGGCUUACCAUGGCUAUGAUGUCUAGGGGUUCUGAGAGGAAGGUCCCCCACACUGGAACUGAGACACGGUCCAGACUCCUACGGGAGGCAGCAGUGAGGAAUAUUGGACAAUGGAUGGAAAUCUGAUCCAGCCAUGCCGCGUGAAGGAAGAAGGUCCUAUGGAUUGUAAACUUCUUUUGUAUGGGAGCAAUAAGGCCUACGAGUAGGUUGAUGAGAGUACCAUACGAAUAAGCACCGGCUAACUCCGUGCCAGCAGCCGC